rnacentral:rRNA from 1 species
AGAGUUUGAUCCUGGCUCAGGACGAACGCUGGCGGCGUGCCUAAUACAUUUGAGUGAGUGGCGAACUGGUGAGUAACACGUGGGAAACCUGCCCAGAAGCGGGGGAUAACACCUGGAAACAGAUGCUAAUACCGCAUAACAACUUGGACCGCAUGGUCCGAGUUUGAAAGAUGGCUUCGGCUAUCACUUUUGGAUGGUCCCGCGGCGUAUUAGCUAGAUGGUGGGGUAACGGCUCACCAUGGCAAUGAUACG